UACGAGGGGGGCGAGCGUUGUUCGGAAUUAUUGGGCGUAAAGGGUGCGUAGGCGGUUUUGUAAGUCUUAUGUGAAAUCUAUGGGCUCAACUCAUAGACUGCAUGAGAAACUGCAGGGCUUGAGUAUGGGAGAGGUGAGUGGAAUCCCUGGUGUAGCGGUGAAAUGCGUAGAUAUCAGGAGGAACACCUGUGGCGAAAGCGGCUCACUGGACCAUAACUGACGCUGAUGCACGAAAGCUAAGGGAGCAAACAGG
rnacentral:rRNA from 1 species